rnacentral:lncRNA from 1 species
UAAGUGGCCUAAUUUUCCUUUGUGGUUGAUUGGGAGAGUGUUGAUGGUCCUUAUUACCAAAAUAUGACCAUCAACUCCUAUAAAAAGCAGUAAAAUAACAUGCACAAAACUAGAGAUAGGGGUUUAAUUUUAACUAUUUCCACAAGUUUUGGUGAAUCACUAUUUAUAGGAGAUCACGCCCGCAUACGGGGAAAACGUGCUCCAAAACAUAUUCAAGGUGCAAAGAAACACACCCUUGACCAAUCAGAGGAAAACACAUGGAUCCAUCGGCCCAC